CUAGACUUGUUUUUCUGCUAUUCAGACUGAGUUCUUCUCAGGUCAUGAGUCGAUCAUGAAAUAUAUAUAUAUGACUUAACUUUUAUUUUGAGAAGUCAGAUUUUGUCAAACUGUCAUUAGAGCUCUUUUUUAAUUUGUUUAUAAAAUCGUUAAACUGGAAGGAAAGAAAAAUGACCUUAUUCAUUCCUUUUCAGGUUUACAUCACCCUUUAGAAGAGCUAUCGACCACAUGAAGAUCCACCUAGCUGUGAUGGACUAUUUUCUGCAUGCCUAAUGAUUAGAGAGACUCUGUUGUGUGUCUUGAUAAAUACACUAACAUUUAGUUUACUUACCUUUUUUUAUAAGACUUGCUAGUAACUAGGUGUGGAGGUGACCAAGUUAAAAAAUAAUUGAGGUUCAAUAUACAGCUGAUUUGUUGAUGAACCCACAAUAGCUCCCACAAGGGAGAUGUGGUCACCUCUUUUCUUUUUAGGCACUGGAAAAAUAUUGUUUGACAACUGCCCAGGAUUAACUCCAGUGAUAUAUGCUCUAUAGAGACAAUAAUAACCCCAAUCAUGACCAUUUUGUGGAGUACAUGCUCCGUAUGUGCCAGGCAUUGUGUUAAGUGCUUUCCUCACGUGAUCUCAGAGCGCCUGUAACCAGCCUAGGAGGCUCAUUUUACUCUCAGUUGGAGGAGGGCAGUUAUUUAGUUAUUUUUCAGGAUCCAUGUGGCUUAUAAAUAGCAGAGCCAGUCUCAACCUAGAGUCUGUCUGAUUUAUAAAUCCAGAUCAUAGCUACAGCUCCAGUCACCCAGUGAUAGCCUACACAAAUCAACGUCAUUGUGCUUUCCUAAGUUCAUUGUAUUAUCUGUGAAGUGUCUCAUCUCUCUAGAAACCGUAUCUUAUUUCUCUUUUUAUUCCCAGUACUUUGCACAGCAUUUAUUAUGUAGAAGGUUUCUCAAUUAAUUUUUUCUUGAAUAAAUACACUAAAAUGGCUAUUAUUCAUGAUCUUCCUAUGUAUGAAAAUUAGGAGACCGUUUUACCCACUCUCAUCCAACAACAAUUAUAGAUAGAUGGUGGCUCCAUUAUGCCAGUGUUUAUGGCAGCCUCAGAUUCUCAUAAUAUUCUCUCUCAUCAAAGGCUCAAGAAAAGCCUUGGCUUAAGCUUUUGUAAUCUGAUGAUACCUGGGCAGAGAACACAAGGCACAAUGAAUAAUGAGUAGCCUUAUUUUCUCUUUUACCUACUAACUUUUUAGCAACUGCCAGAUAUGAUGAACUUGUGCUUUUUCUAUUUUUCAUCUUUAAACACAGAUUACCCCUCUUAUUGCCCCUGAUCUUCUCCUUUAUGAAAUGAUCAUAUUUAAAUCAGGAACAUAUUGGGGUAAUACACUUAGAAUGGAGUGCUUCUUGAUCAAUAGUUUCAUUUGUUUAUUCAUUUAUAAAGUCACAUUUAAUUUUGAUAAUGUCAGAUGGAGUAUUGGGAGGAAAAUAAGAUAAUAAGUUUUCCCUAACUCCUGAAACAUUUUGAAUUAUGUGUAUAUUCAUGCAACCUCAAAAAAACAGGGAAAAAGAUUUUAGUUUUCAAAGUGGACAGACAUUUUAUUUGGGCUUUGGUUAAAAUGUAUCAAUUCUAUUUUUUUUAUACUCUACCUACAACAUACACAUAUACCACUGCAUUCCCAGCAAGUAAAGUUUAGGAGUUAUCUCUUUCCAGCCAAGCAUUCUAUGUUUUGGUUAAUAAUUUGGAAUGAGUUUGACAUUUGAGUCUAUGUGGUCCUUAACUUAUUUCUUCCCAUGAAGGGAACAGGAUGGUAGCUUGAUCAAACAGAUGGCCUUAGUAAAUGUCAGAAACUUCUUUUGGGUUCAGAAGAAGUCCUCUGUGAAAUCCCCAGGUAGGAAGUAAUAGGCUACAACCUGUCCAAAUCUGUCAUCUAGAAGUUCUAGAGGAACCAGAUCUGAAGCCAGAUGUGAGUCUGGAUUAAAGAGGAUACCACUGCCUGUAAAUGCAAAGAGAUAAUUUUAAAUGGGGUCUUUCCACUUAUUCAUCAGAAGAGGGUGUCCUUUUUUAUCUCCUUUGUUUUGUUCAGGCUAUAUAUCUCUUUAGGUGAUAGUUAAAUGUGUUCUGUUAAAUUCUAUUUACAUAGAUAAUUCAUUUAGUUAAUCCAUUCAUUAUCCACCAUUAUGAAGACAUAGCUAUGUUUUAGGGAUGCAAAGAAUGAUUCCAGUCAGUAUGUUUACAGCAUAGCAAGAGAAGCAAUCAUGUUAAACAAUACACCUGUUUUCUGUUAUAAUGUAAAAAGAAGCAAAUCUAAAGCUCUAUCUUUAAGUUAUCGUUAAAGAUAUACAUUAUUGUACAGUAUGCAUGCUUAUCAAAAUGUCUUUGGAAGUACCGUUAAGCAUUAUAAAU
rnacentral:lncRNA from 1 species